GUGAAACGUAGACUGCGUGGUUUAACCUGCUCGUCGUUAGUGGUUGCUCCGCUGUAACAAAAGAACGUUUUAACCCCUUGCCCUACGAUUUAAAUUCCGAAUGCGACCAAGAAAAAAAAGUGUUUGUCGCCUGUAUGUAGUCCGAAGAACAUACGUUUCAUGCUCGUGUUGUUAACGAUUGGCCCGAAGGGCGUACCACGUUUCUCGUACGUGUUUUUCGUGUUUGGCCCGAAGGACGUACCACGAGUCUAACUCGACGUUGUAUAGAUUAAAUGUUUUCGAUCAAGUUACGCGUUAUUCGUACGAAAAUAUUCGAGCGACUGAAACGUAUCGGUUAAUUGUCAAACAUUCAUCUAUCGUUACCGCUCUUUUUCUGCGUUCUCGUGUCGUAUCGCAUCCAUGUCCCAUUUCCCGUCUCGUCGUUCACAGAGAUCUCGAUGGUUGCGGAACACGUGCAUUAAGAUCUCGUAAGCCGUAGAUCAUCGAACGAUUCGAAAGACGCAACAUAAAACGUGACAUGCGUGCACACAUGCAUACAUAUCGACACUUUUAUACGAGAAAAAGCUAACAAUUUGCCCGAGAAACGUGUUAAUUAUACGUAAAGACGGUGAAAGAUUUCGAAUUUGAAAUAGCGUGUAUCGCGAUUCUCUAACGUUUGAUUUCUUUUCCUUGUUCUUCCGUUGUAUUCCGUUUCGUUUCGUUUCGCAUCGUUGGAAUUAUCGGCGUGCGGCCCGAUUACACACAGAAACUUUCUUCCUUUUUUCUUGCUUGUCUCGCGAUCGAAUCGUGAGAUAUGAAAAAAAUAAUCGAUCCGACCUAAUACAUUUCAAUAUAGUUGAAAUAAUCACACAGCUGUAAGAUAAAAGAGAAAGAAAAGAAGAAAGAGUGUGUGAAAAAUUGAACGAGGAACGUUCUGUUCCUAUGACAUGUAUAUUACCGUCUAUCCAGCCGAUCGUUCGGGUGGUUCGUAUACGGUACACGGUAUACAGUACACAAUUACGAUUAUUGCGUGGCAAGUAACGCAUCUGUAUCGUAUACGUAUGCCUCAAGUAUAUACAUCGGUGCUUUUCUAUUCAUAUACAUGUGAAACAUUGCUCUUCGAAUAACGAACACAUUGCUUUACAGAAAGAGGCGCCACUCUAUUCUACGUCGUAAUGAGACUGUAUGGAUUUACAUAGCAGUUAAGCGUCGAUAAAAAAUAAUCCAAGUAAAAAUACAGAUUCGAACGAUUCGUGAUAACGAACGAAUACUUGAGAAAAAAAAAAGAAAAAGAAAAAAUAAAAGAGAAAAAAAGAAGAAAGAAAGAGAAGAAGUAGUAAGCGGUGAGAAAAGAAACACAAAAAGAAAGAACGAGACAACAGAACAGAACAAAACGGAUAAAAUACGAAAUUAGAAUGUGUGGACCAUGGUAUUAUGGUAUGUAGCAACGUACCUCACUACUGGGUGCUUGGGAGGUACGGAUGGGUCCAUGGGGCUGAAAUAACAAAACAAAGCAUUUCAGAGCAAGAUAAAUAGAAACGAAGGUUAAUUAAGUGCUUGUUACUCGUCUACGAUGGUCAUACUUGUUGUCAAUGGUACAAAAAUACGUCCACGUAUUUCCUGUCUCAAAUGUUCCAGCAUCUACAGUUCGAACUAAAGCUAAUUGCACGCAACGCUUUUAACAAAAACAAUACAUCGUACAACGCACACGUACAAUAAUUUAAUUGCUUUUGAAUAGAGGAUUCAGAAAUAAAUUGAUACAACACAUGUAUAAGGCAGUUUUAACAUAUUUAUUAAUAUGAAAUUAUUACUAUUA